GACAGCUUGGCCGAGAAGUCAAAGGAUGCGCGUUAGACUCGAAAUCUAAUGGGGAAACCCUCGUGAGUUCAAAUCUCACAGCUGUCG